AUGGAGAAUACCGGCUCUAUGAAAAGUCCAGAUCAGUCUUCAAGAAUAAGUAUACCUUUUCACCUCAUCAAAACUUCAGACAGUUACGCCAAGUCAGUGAUGCGUACUUAUUUAGCGGCAGCUUAUGACUCAAGUUUAACACGCAGCAUGCAGUCCUACCACCCUUGGGCUCAAUAUGAGAAGGAUCUUGACAGUUUCAGUGAAGACUCACUCUCAAAUGAAGCUGCAAGUGAAGAAUCCAGGCUGCAAAAUACCUCUCAGGUCAGGUCUUCAUCCUCCACAUCUAUUUCAUUAUCUUCCCCUCGUCCAUCAAUUUCACUUAUCCGCACAGCUACAACUGAGCCUUCGAUAACCAACACUUCGCCCACAAUUAAUCUUGAAGAUUAUGACAGUGAUUACAGCAAUUACAGUAAUGAAUAAGUUUUUGAUUUGUAUCAGUUCAAAGUUUCAAAGAUGGAAAUAUAAGUGGACUUCUCAGUAUUGAAGGCAAAAUCCACGAAUGUUUACAAUGCCAAAUCAUUUGGAUUAAUUCAAAGAAUGAACAAUGCUCAUAAAAUUUUAAAGAGCCCUCAAUUUUUAUUUUGCAGAGAAAUAACUUUUCAAACGGUUUGUAGAGCGCAUGCAUCAUUAUUGGUAGCCCUUUAGGAGCAAUCAGAUAUUGAUGGUUAAACUAUGAAAGCAUCUAUAUUGAUUAGCAAGUUUUAAAACUUCCACUACCACUAUAUUUUGAGCAAGUGUUGCUGUAUAUUUGUUUACUAACUUUCAAGAGAUAUUCCUGUAAACAGUAGGAAAAUAUUUUGCAAUAAUGAUGAUCAGGUAUCCCUCAAAUAUGUUAAUCUCAAGAAAUGAGAAAACUGCGGUGCUCCAAACCAAGAUACAUGGUUUUGUCCAGCAGAGGGUAAAUUCAUUGUAUAGCAUUAUGUAUAUUGUUCAAUGUGUAUAUUUGUUGAACAUGCUUCAAAUUAGGAAUGUUUGACUGUGUUCCCCUGGUGUGCUCCACUGAGAGCAGAACAGGUAACGAUCUGUCAAUAGUCCUGAUUUCUUUGCCUUUAUGACUACCCUCCACUGAGAUUCUUGAGAAUAAAGCAGUGCUUUACCAUAAAAUCUGAAAAUGCCAUAUAAAAGGGGAAAAUAUUGGUUAAACAUGGUUUUGUAGUUUCACCAUUGAUAUUCUGCCAAGGUCGAGCAAUUAAGCAUAUUAGUUUUUACAAGCUUCUAGGUGGCCUCUUUUCCCCUAUUUUGUAAUUCUUGAGUAGAUGGACCUUUAGACAGAAAGUGUCGAUGUACUUCUUCUAACAGUUUGAAAACUUUAAGAAACAGCUUAUGUUCCUAGAUGUUAGGCUACGUAAAAUAUUGCACUGGUUUCAUAUGUUGACUGCCAGGUUGUUUUCCUUUUUUUACGUUUCCUCUGUUACCAAAAGUUUACUAGCUGUUUCAACCCUUGUGAAAGAGAAAAUAACAUGAAACAGUUUGCUCCCCAAUUCUUGUUCUUUAAUUGUCUGCUUGUUGCCUUGUGAGGAAGGGCUGUGCAUUUUCAGAUGGCGCUUCAAUCAUAUGACAUAAGGCAGAAACUUAAAAUUAGUUACCAGUUUGGUGGUGAAUAAUUUAAAAAUAAUUUAUUAAAAGCAACUGUCGAAAAAUCUCACCAAUCGAAUCUGCAUCUACUGAUAGAUUGUCGAAAAAAUGUACCGUAUGUAACUUCUUUUGGUUGUGUGUAGAUCAAUUUUUUCCCCACCCUAAAGGCACAAAAUAGUGUUUUUCUUUUGUUAUGGAAUUUUGUAUAGUAGAGUCAUUAAAGUUCGUUUUUACUCAUUUCUAAAUUGGUUGAAAAUUAUUUAAUAAUUUAAUUUUAAGGGAACCCUUUAAGCAUCAUGUAAAAGCUUCACAGAAACAAAACUGACGUAUGUGCUCAAUCUGCAUGUUGAUUAAUCAUUAUCUUAAAGCAUUUGUACCAAAAAGGGGCCGUUCAUCAAAUAUAAGUAUGCAUUGCUCUGGAUAAGGGGGGGGGGGUGUGUCAAGGGAGUUUCUUGUCAUUUUGUAUUUAUGUGUUAGAAGACAGGAACCUAUGUUGCGAAUACAUUACAAGGGAAUGGAGUGGUAGAAAAUUUGAACUUUUGCAUUAUGUGUUUCAUGAACGGCCCCAAGCCUACCAACUGAAGAUUUGUCUCUCCUGAGUAGUUGGACUUCUUUCCUAAAAAUGAAUCCUUUUAAGUGUUAAAGAGGAGCAGAACGUAUCAUCAAGGAAGGCUACUAAUAUUAUUCAAUUGAGAAUCUUGCCAGCUAACUAGACAUCAUUUUCAUACGUGAUUUACUAUUGAUAUUGUAACUAUUGUAUAGUGAGCAACAUGAAACAUAUGUUAGAUUCAUGUGAAUGCUAAUCAGCGCCGUCCUCGUAAAUCUGUCUUUAGCAAAAUAUGUGUAGUAUUGCAUGGCAACCAUGUUCUUUAAAAUUUGCUGAGCUGUUGAGGAUGAUUCAUCAACAUAAUAUUUGUUGGGUUGUUUAUCAAAUUCAGUUCCAAACAAGAUUCCCAAGCCAUUUUUUCGUUUCACAAAAGUGACGUCUAAUCCAGCCACAUCGUUUGGCAGGUGAAUUUUUGUUGUUUUAUUGCCACUAAUUUUUGGUACAGGCACAAAAAUAUCACCGAAAUCAUCAUAAUCUGUUAUACUUUCAUCAGCAACAUUUGAUCUCACUAAAAAGAGUAAAUUGGAGCUGAAAUUUCAAGCUCAGAUUCAGGUAGUUUUGCCACCAAACCUCGGUGAAAAGUUUUCGUCACCAAACUUUUCACAUUAUCUAAGGCUUUUUGCGUUCCAUCAAAACUGUCAAUACUGUCACUAAAUUCUUGAAUUGCAGUGUUGGAGCAUCCGAGGUAUUCUCUGUAGUAUUCCAUUUUGGAGAUUUCGUGACGCAAAGAUAGUCUUGCAAUUUUGUUUGAGAUCUUAAUUAAUAAUUUCUCUCCGAUAUAUUUGCCUGUGAAAUAACCAUGCUCCACAAGAUAGAAUAGAAAGUAGUCUUGAAUUUUUUUAAGGUGUUUCGUAGCUCCAGUUAUCUCGGCCUCUCGUAGAAGCAUCAAAUCUUUAAAUGGAAUUUUUGAAAUGUUCUUGAUUUCUAUCUCUGCAUUUGGUUUCAAACUUCUAAUGAUUUGAUUUCCAAAUAACUUAGGAGAUAACAAGUUUUUAAAUGGAGUCAGUGUUUGCAAUGAAGAAUAAUCAACAGCAAAAUCAGGUGUCAAUGAGGUCUACCUCUGCCUUCACCUAAAUAUUCUGUAACAAAACCUGGACAAUAAAUUGGCCCUACAUCUUCAGAUUCAUUGUUCUGAUAUAUAGAGUACCCCUUUAGGUAUCUCUGCAAAACGAUCUUGUGUUCUGAGUUCAUACCAAAAAUUGUAGUUAGUUCUUCGAGCUCAUUUUGAGUAAAUCCAAAUCCCACAGCUAGUUUUCUUGAUGUGAAAAUUGACGCAAAUUCAACAUUAUUAAUUGAUUCAUUGUGGGGCAUAUCAAAACCAGUUAUUGCAGUCAGGUAACUGCGCCAUACUCUUGGUUACCUUUGACCAAUGAAGAGAUAAACAAUUGGAGGGAACUAAUGAUGCGACCUAAGUCACAAUCUCUCUCGGUUGUCCACAUAUUAGUAUUAGGAUUACUUAGUACCCAUUCGAAGGGUGCAGAGACAGCAUCGAUCAAAAGAAGGACUCUUCUUCUGAAAUGAGUUUGCACUAGUGUACAAGUUGCGAGCCACACACCUCUAGGGUUGAGCUGUUAAUGCAUGAGGAAGGGUCCAGAACGCCACAGCGUUCAAAAAUGUGUUGGUUCAAGGACAUGUCAUGUUUAGAUCUCGCAUUUUGGAUGAGGUACAU
rnacentral:lncRNA from 1 species